AUGAACGCUAGCUACAGGCUUAACACAUGCAAGUCGAGGGGCAGCAUGAACUUAGCUUGCUAAGUUUGAUGGCGACCGGCGCACGGGUGAGUAACACGUAUCCAACCUGCCGAUGACUCGGGGAUAGCCUUUCGAAAGAAAGAUUAAUACCCGAUGGCAUAGUUCUUCCGCAUGGUAGAACUAUUAAAGAAUUUCGGUCAUCGAUGGGGAUGCGUUCCAUUAGGUUGUUGGCGGGGUAACGGCCCACCAAGCCUUCGAUGGAUAGGGGUUCUGAGAGGAAGGUCCCCCACAUUGGAACUGAGACACGGUCCAAACUCCUACGGGAGGCAGCAGUGAGGAAUAUUGGUCAAUGGACGAGAGUCUGAACCAGCCAAGUAGCGUGAAGGAUGACUGCCCUAUGGGUUGUAAACUUCUUUUAUACGGGAAUAAAGUGAGGCACGUGUGCCUUUUUGUAUGUACCGUAUGAAUAAGGAUCGGCUAACUCCGUGCCAGCAGCCGCGGUAAUACGGAGGAUCCGAGCGUUAUCCGGAUUUAUUGGGUUUAAAGGGAGCGUAGGCGGACGCUUAAGUCAGUUGUGAAAGUUUGCGGCUCAACCGUAAAAUUGCAGUUGAUACUGGGUGUCUUGAGUACAGUAGAGGCAGGCGGAAUUCGUGGUGUAGCGGUGAAAUGCUUAGAUAUCACGAAGAACUCCGAUUGCGAAGGCAGCCUGCUGGACUGUAACUGACGCUGAUGCUCGAAAGUGUGGGUAUCAAACAGGAUUAGAUACCCUGGUAGUCCACACAGUAAACGAUGAAUACUCGCUGUUUGCGAUAUACAGUAAGCGGCCAAGCGAAAGCGUUAAGUAUUCCACCUGGGGAGUACGCCGGCAACGGUGAAACUCAAAGGAAUUGACGGGGGCCCGCACAAGCGGAGGAACAUGUGGUUUAAUUCGAUGAUACGCGAGGAACCUUACCCGGGCUGGAAUUGCAACUGAAUGAUGUGGAGACAUGUCAGCCGCAAGGCAGUUGUGAAGGUGCUGCAUGGUUGUCGUCAGCUCGUGCCGUGAGGUGUCGGCUUAAGUGCCAUAACGAGCGCAACCCUUAUCGAUAGUUACCAUCAGGUUAUGCUGGGGACUCUGUCGAGACUGCCGUCGUAAGAUGUGAGGAAGGUGGGGAUGACGUCAAAUCAGCACGGCCCUUACGUCCGGGGCUACACACGUGUUACAAUGGGGGGUACAGAAGGCAGCUACACGGCGACGUGAUGCUAAUCCCGAAAGCCUCUCUCAGUUCGGAUUGGAGUCUGCAACCCGACUCCAUGAAGCUGGAUUCGCUAGUAAUCGCGCAUCAGCCACGGCGCGGUGAAUACGUUCCCGGGCCUUGUACACACCGCCCGUCACACCAUGGGAGUCAGUAACGCCCGAAGUCAGUGACCCAACCGUAAGGAGGGAGCUGCCGAAGGCAGGAUCGAUAACUGGGGUG
rnacentral:rRNA from 1 species